CGGUAUUUACACAUGUGACUUAUUUAUUUCACUUAGGAGUAUCUCCUGUGAGAGGCAGUGUAUUGUGUUGAUAAAAUAUCCAAGGCAAUUUGCUGACAAAUGUUAUGCCAGCAGCAGUGAAAUUCUGUCUCUUCAUUCCAGAGACCUCAUAUCUUGAAAUCAACUUAAAAACAGUAAUAAGGUUAAAAGAUAGCUCAAUCUCUGUGCUCAUCGGUAUUUGGCGACUGCGCGAACUGUGACUACCCCAGGCUGUUUGUUCCUUAUGCUCUAUUUACAGGCUACUAAUGAUAGCAAACAUUUUAUGUUAACAGUAUCCAGAUCUUAUGAUGAGGAAAACUUGAUGGGGCUAUUGCCUGAAGGAGAGACACUUCUUGAACUUAAAGCAACUCCUCUAUGGUCAAAACGUGUGGCUUAUAAGACUUCUUUAAUUCUGAUUCUUUGAAGGUUAUCUCAGCAUAGUGGUGGAUCUCAUGUCUCUGAAGUUGGAUAAUUUAGGUUCCUAGUCCAGCUCCCCUACCUGCCUACUUCUACAAAUUUGGGUGACAGAAAGGUCAAAGUCCAACUGUUUUUCUCAUCCCAGCCUAUUUUAAAGGCCACAGAAGAGAGAGAUUUCUCCAUUUCCGACUUCUUGGGUGUUGCUUGUGGCAGAGAAGCCAGCCAGAAGGUGAGGCAGAACUUCACGGACGUGCAAUCUCAUGAUUUAUUACAAGUGCCAAUAAGACCCGAGUC